UUAAUUGAAGCCAAAAUAGAGGCCUAUUACUGUUAAUAAUAGCAAUGAAAAUUUAACAUUCCAAUUGUU
rnacentral:tRNA from 1 species